CUUCAAGAAAGAUCAUAAUUGGUUUCGGGGGCGGAGCCCAGUUAAUUUGCCCGCAUUGAACUUUUGGGUAUAUAUAUAUAUAAAAGCCCAAUGCUUAUGACCCAUUUAGUGACCUUGUGACCCGUUCCUCCCAAAUUCUCAAUUGAUUACUGUUCGAUUCAAUCACAAAAUCACUUCAACCCUUCGUGACUUCGUCCCUUCGCACUAUCCAUCACUGCCUGUCUUUCCCCUUCCCAUCUUCGACGGCACGUCCUCCUGGAGCCGGUCAGACUUGCUCCCAUCUCCGACCGACUCUACGUUCUCCUCCGGCUCCGAGUUUUGAUCUCCGUUGGAUCGUUGUAGUCUUGCAGACUAGCAGGCAACGCCUGCGCAUGACAGCAGCUUCGCCAAUCGCUCAUUAAAUUGUAACAGAAGAAGGUGAUUUUGAUUUUUGAAUCGGUUGGGUAGCCAGCAGAAUUAAAAGGUUAAAGCCCCAAUUUCCACCAGUGACUUUGAAUUUUUUUUCCUAUUUUUGUUAUUUUGAUUUGUGUAAAUUGUAAUAAUAUUUUUUUUGUUCUUAGCAUGCGAAAUUAGCGCUUUAUUCUUUAAUUGCUCAAAGCAGCACUUCGUACACGUUGCUCUUCAAUUGAUUUUGGCACAGACUUCCAGUGGACCAGUUCAUUGUUGCAUCUGACUCUCUACAAAUAUGCGAUUGUAAGUUGCUUACACUGUCACUUGGAAGUUGAAACUUGGAAAAUAGUAUAUAUUGCAUUGUAAAGUUGUGAAUUGCACUGGAUUGAUAGUAUAUAUUGCACUGUGAUUGUGAAUUCAUUAUUUGAAAGUGUGAAUUGGAAUGUAAAUUGAUUAUGUGAAGUAGUGAAUUGCACUGGAUCAUUAAAUCUAUGACCAAAACCUCAACGUCCGGCGUUGAAAAUUUUUUGCCCGUGCUGAACUAAAAUCCUGGCUAUGCCCCUGAUUUGUUUGUUAUAUUGCCUUCUUCAAAAAUAAUAAAAUAACACUAUUUUAGAAUAUUAAUUAUUAUAGAUUGAUUCAAAUAAUUAUGCAAUAUUCUUCUGAUAUAUUAUAAAGUAUGUUUGUUCUUGAGCAAUAGGUCAACAUUCUUUGGGAAUAUUGAGUAAUGCCAUGUUCUUCAUUAGCGGAAAUUGAAUCGAAAAAGUAGAUAAAUUAUUGUGAAAAUUUCCUUUUCAUAUUAUUGUGAAUCGAAAAAGUAGAUCUACAUAUAUAAAAUAAAUUCACGCGGGCAAGAUGCUGAAUACAGACCUUCAAGUUCACGCAAAAAGAGGAUAUACAUAUGAGUAAAGCUAGUUGUAUAUGGUCACAUGGCACCCCCUAUAGGUGGGGAACCAACAUCUCCCUAUACAUAUAGCUGUGUUGAAUAUAGAUGUGCACACAAUCUCUAACGCGCCUGUAAAAAUAUUAAUUAUGCAUGUAUGCGACAAUGAAAAAAUAUAAUGCGUAUGAUUUGAGAUUGGAUAUAGUUACCUUCAAGCUAAUUUAUUAUAAUUUUUAGAGAAUCAUGCUGAUAACAUGUUAUGAACUAAAGAAAAAAUAAGAUAAAGAAGUUAAUAAAUUUGUGUGUUUUUCAUUCAAAAUCAAAGUCCCAUAUCUAUGGGGAAGAAUUAGGGCUGCAAGGAAUAUAGUAGUCGUAAUACCUAGGGUUGUAAGGAUAUAAUAGUCAUUUACAAAUACUACUUUAUUUUAAACAUUUUUAAAUUUAUUUCAUCUAUUGCAUAACCUCAUUCCUUCAAGAUUAACUGUGGCCUUCCAAAUGUUUUGGACGAAUUCCUUGCUCUGUACAAAUGUCUAAAAGUUUCUAGUCGCACUUAAAGCUGAGUAUUCUACUGUUGAGUUGUAGAUUUUGGAUUAAAAUGUCAUUUUUUCAACUUGUUCCUUUCGAAUUUCAUAUCCACAUUCAUUUUCAUUCUUCAAUUUUACCAAUGUUCUGUUUGUUUUAUCGAACUUUUAAUACAAUCCGGUGGUGUUGAUGAAAAUUAUGAAAUGACUGCCACAUUGACCAAUGAUCAGCUUAGUAUCUUUCUUUUCUUUUCUUUUCUUUUUUUUUUUUUUUUUUUUUUUUUUUUUUUUUUAUUUGCCCUUCAAUUUAGGAUUAUUUUUUUCCUGUUGUAUGAGUAUUUGUAGCUAAAAGAAUUAUUGUUGACUUGCGUUUACAGAUUGCAUUUUUUUAUUUGGGAAGAAUUUGGAGAAAGCAGCGAGGAUAGUUGAUCAAAGGGGGGUGUCGAGAGGAUUUCAGGCGAGCCAAGUGGUCGUUCCAUAUUCCAGGCAGUUUUUGCUUUUCGUCUGUAAUUUUUUCUGAUUACAAUUAUGGUAUUUCCCCUGUUGGUAUUGAUUUAAAUUAGAUUUUAAUUUUAGUCAAAGUCAAACGAUCAAUAUUAACAACAUAUUUCAAGGGUUCAACAACUUUUC
rnacentral:lncRNA from 1 species